rnacentral:rRNA from 1 species
GAGUUUGAUCCUGGCUCAGAACGAACGCUGGCGGCAGGCUUAACACAUGCAAGUCGAACGCGUGUAGCAAUACACGAGUGGCGCACGGGUGAGUAACACGUGGAUAUCUGCCUUUUGGUUCGGAAUAACCCUGGGAAACUAGGGCUAAUACCGGAUGGUUCCUACGGGAUAAAGAUUUAUCGCCAAAAGAUGAGUCCGCGUCCGAUUAGCUAGUUGGUGAGGUAACGGCUCACCAAGGCGACGAUCGGUAGCUGGUCUGAGAGGACGAUCAGCCACACUGGGACUGAGACACGGCCCAGACUCCUACGGGAGGCAGCAGUGGGGAAUAUUGGACAAUGGGGGCAACCCUGAUCCAGCCAUGCCGCGUGAGUGAUGAAGGCCUUCGGGUUG